GAGCUGCCAGUGAGUGCCGAGCACCCACCAAUUUUUCCCCUUGGGUGCUCCGGGACUGGAGUCAGCGCCUAUGCUAACACAUACACAGCGCCUGGAGCUGGCCUCCUCUGUGUGCUUCUAGCCACUCAGACCGGAGAUAAGCUCAGGAGACACAUUUUGGAUCAAAAUCCAACUUUCCCCAGUCCAAGGGUGUUUGUAGCUGGGCUUCUGUUUCAGCCCAUCGUAGCAGAUAGGAACCAGCUUCACAUGUUGGGUCUAGAUCCAGACUUUCCAAGGAUUCCAGGGAGUGGGCAGAGGCUGUAGCUGGAAUAUUGGGUCAGGUCCAUCUCCGCUCAGAAUAAACAGCAGAGGCUGGCUGGCUUCAGUCAUAGGCAGUUGCCACGGGGGGUCCCAAUCGCAGCGGGUGCCAUUCCAGAGAAAGGUCUCUUCUUGGCCAAAUGCCAUUUCUUAAGUCCCAGAGCAUCUUCCCAGAGCUUGGAGACCUGAAUGGCUGUUGCACAUUGCAAGGAGAAGCAUGCACCCAAGAAUGUAGUAACCCUUCAGAGCUGCCACGCCUCGGCCCAGCCCUGCUAACCGCAGCAUUCUGCAUCGGGGCCCUUUGGAGAAGUUAGCUCUUCGGUGUGAGGUAGUUUAUAGUGAAUUUCUGUGCAAGGUGUGAGGUCUGUUACCAUUGGGAGGAGAGUGUGACUGUGUGAGGUGUGCAAGGUGUGAGGUCUGUUACCGUUGGGAGAAGAGUGUGACUGUGUGAGGUGUGCAAGGUGUGAGGUCUGUUACCGUUGGGAGGAGAGUGUGACUCUGUGAGGUGUGCAAGGUGUGAGGUCUGUUACCGUUGGGAGGAGAGUGUGACUGUGUGAGGUGUGCAAGGUGUGAGGUCUGUUACCGUUGGGAGGAGAGUGUGACUCUGUGAGGUGUGCAAGGUGUGAGGUCUGUUACCGUUGGGAGGAGAGUGUGACUGUGUGAGAUGUGCAAGGUGUGAGGUCUGUUACCAUUGGGAGAAGAGUGUGGCUGUGUGAGAUGUGCAAGGUGUGAGGUCUGUUACCGUUGGGAGGAGAGUGUGACUCUGUGAGGUGUGCAAGGUGUGAAGUCUGUUACCGUUGGGAGAAGAGUGUGACUGUGUGAGGUGUGCAAGGUGUGAGGUCUGUUACCGUUGGGAGGACAGUGUGACUUGUGGUGGGUGAGUUUACAUCCUCCGAACGUUCUGAGCUGGGCAGAUGGAGGUUGUUAGCAGUGAGGACAGCUCCUUGGCUUUAAAUGUGGAUUGCUAGCUUACUAACACCAGGCAUCAGAGAGGCGAGAGAGAAGAUAGUGCCUGAUCCAAAGAGGCGCCUCCUUGCUGGAAAUGCCAUGCCUUCAAAUCCUAAUGAAGUAAUGGAAGUUGAGCUUUCAGGAUUGGUGCCUUAUUCCUCAGUACCACUGGGUACCAGUGAUUUACAAUUUGCUGAGCACAACCACUACUUAGCAGCUAAUCAACUAGGGGCCUAAUCUUGGUGCCAUUGAGAUCAGUGGGAGUCUUGCCAUUGACUUCGGUGGAAUCAGGAUUGGAACUCUUCAAAAUUUGUAAAGACCCAAUCCUGCAAGCUGCUCAGAGCUCCUCCUGUGAGGUGCCCUCAACUUCCCUUGAAACUGGUCAGGCCUCGUGUCUGGUUCACUGACUGUUUCCACAGGAAUUGGAGAGCGCUCAGGACGCACACUUAGCAACUAGCAAGAUUGGCCUUUAAGGUGAUAUAUGAAGUUUACUGUCUGGUAACGUGUGUGCAUGGAUUAAAAAUCAUUUUAUUCAAAUGUAUUCUGAGACCAGAUCCAGCAUAUACACAGUUUCUGUAUUGAUAAAUAUAGAGAGAUUUUUUUUUGUUCUCAGCUAGUUACCAAUUCUGAACCGCAAUUUUCAGAGCAACCGGCAUAUAUUUUUCAUUCAACACAUAAAAUGACUUUUUACAGUAAGAAAAUGAAAGCUGUUGUAAGCAUGUAUUUUCUAUAUUUGUAUUAUGCAUUAUCCAAUUCUCUUGAGAUUUAUUUUCCUCUUUGCUGUGCUCUUUCGGUUGUUAUCCUUAUUUUAUCAGUUAUGCUUUUCUAAUGUUUUGUAAGGAGAAAAAAAUAUGCAAAAUUGUCAGAUGCCUUUUUUCUUUGCAGAAGAAGAAUCACAAACGCUUUUUAUUACAUUUUACCAAUCCAAUAAACUUAGACAUUUCAUUUUG